GAUUUCUGACUGACCGUCCUGGCCCGCUUCUUUUACGGGAGUGAGUGCCGGUACGAGUUUGUCAUCCUUCUAGAAAGCCGCGCCUACCGUUCAUUCGUGCGGGCGUGUGCGGUCUAGAUCUUUUACUUUGAAAAAAUUAGAGUGUUUAAAGCAGGCUUACGCUAUGAAUACAUUAGCAUGGAAUAAUAAUCUAGGACUUUCGGUUCUAUUUUGUUGGUGUUCUGGAGCUGAAGUAAUGAUUGAUAGGGAUAGUUGGGGGUGCUAGUAUUCAAUGGCCAGAGGUGAAAUUCUCGGAUUCCUUGAAGACUAACUUAUGCGAAAGCAUU
rnacentral:rRNA from 1 species